UGCUGAAGUUCAAGCAAUAAUAUGGUGAGGU
rnacentral:piRNA from 1 species